rnacentral:misc_RNA from 1 species
GGGUUCGGCAGGAUGCAAUAGAUCUAAUAUGUGGCCACUAUAGUAUCAACAAACAUGGUCCUUCACCAUUCCAGCUGAAUGGAUUUGAGUCACUAUCUUAUCUUCCAGUAGCAUCAGCUCUGGUGGUUGGAGGUUUGACAAUUACAUCACUCACCCUCCAGCAAGCGGGAAGGAACGCCCAGCAAUUUAUGUCAUCUGUGCUUUGGGCUGGUGUUACUGCUGGGGUGAUGGCA